AGCUUUCUGAGUCCAUACCGAGAUUUUUUCAGAUGCCAACUUGCCAGGACUGAUGAGACUUCUAAGAUACGUGAAGCA
rfam:Schistosoma rodhaini strain Burundi genome assembly, scaffold: SROB_scaffold0002624